rnacentral:lncRNA from 1 species
UUAAGGUUAAAUAAGGUCAUAAGGAUGGGUCCCUCAUCCAAUAUGACGGGUGGUCUUUUAAGAAGACAGGUACCGGGGUACUUUGCACAGAGGAAAAAUUAUGUGAGGACACAGCCAGAAGAUGAGUGUCUGCAAGCCAGGAAGAGGGGUCUCACUAGAAACCAAGCCUUUUGGCACUUGAUCUUGGACUUCCAGCCUCCAGAACGGUGAGGAAAUACAUUUCUGUUAUUUGAGCCACUCUAUCUGUAGUAUUUUAUAUGGCAGCCCAAGCCGACCUAUACAGGGGUCUCUAGCAGGCUGGGGUUUGGGCCCCACAGCUACAACAGGCCCACCCUGGACAGCCAGGGAGCCUCAAGGUUAAUGACUCAAGGCUGACUCCUUUCCCAGUGAGCGGGGCAGGAAAGAGGGAGAAGGCUGAGGUCCCUGGGCCCAUUUCCUGCUGCCAACUCGAUUUGGAGGCUGAGAGCUGGGAUGGCAGAUGGGAAAGUGAUGAGCUCCUCCUGCUGCAGGUGAUUCAUAGGGCAUCCGGGCACGCGGCCCACCUCCAGCACCAGUGGGAGCUGAUUUCAAAGCCCUCCGCCAGCCUCUGCUCAACACAUGAGAAUCACAUGAGGCUGGGAGGUGGCAGGAGAAAGGGGCUAUUCUCAUGGCCCAGGGAAUCCAGUGGCCAAACUCAUUGCAUCUUGCUUUUGCCCUCUGUGGCCUUUGGUCUGUUUCUCCAUUAGCCUACUUAGGGCAGCCCUGUUUAUAGCCCUAUUUGCCUUCCACUUGUACUAACUGAAUUCCUGCCUCACUUUCACAGGCAUCCUGCAUCUCUGCCUCUUUUGGGUGACUUAUAUGCCUUCCCCAUGGAUACCUUCUCUUCACCAAAAGGAGUCCCACACCUUCCAGCAGGACUCUGGGAAGUUUCUCCCUUACAGCAGAGCUACAUUCUGGCCACGUCUUCUGGCACCUUAUGGCCUAUUCAGUUGGCCAUUUGGAAUGGACAGAACGAAACAGAAGUCAAAGAGCUGUCUACACGUCCUUCCCAAGCUGUAAUUAAGAUGGAAGCUCAUUUGCCAUUCUGAGGAUUGGUGCAAUCAAGCAUAUGACAGAGCAAGAUUUUGGAACAUUUUUAUCAGU